UACGUAGGGUGCGAGCGUUAAUCGGAAUUACUGGGCGUAAAGUGUGCGCAGGUGGCCGCGCAAGUCGAGUGUGAAAACCUGCAGCUUAACUGUGGGCUUGCGGUCGAUACGGGCAUCACUGGAGUUCGGCAGGGGAGACUGGAAUUCCUGGUGUAGCGGUGAAAUGCGCAGAUAUCAGGAGGAACACCGGUGGCGAAGGCGGGUCUCUGGGCCGAUACUGACGCUGAGACCCGAAAGCUAGGGUAGCGAACCGG
rnacentral:rRNA from 1 species